CUGCAGCCCAACUUUUAAUCCAGCUUGAGCUGCACCAAUUGCACGUUCACGGACACUUUUAUUGUAGUCGAAACUGCUUACAGAACCAAAACUGAGCUUCAGCAAAUACCUGAAAGACUUUCAGAAGGGAACGAUGGCCAACAGCCACUAAAAAUCACCUUGAGACCAGUGCUCUGUGGGCUUGUGCUGCAUUCCCAGGCUGUGUGUUGCUGACGGCGUUCUGAUGCUGCUGUGUUCUUCUCCAGGAGGAUUAGACACUUCCUGAAUUACAUGUUGUCGGUCAUGAGGAGGUUUGUUUGCAUCUGAAUACUCUCAUGUUCAGAACGAGCAAUAAGAUGGGAGACUUUAUCAGAACUGGCCACUAAUUAACAGAAAUCACAGUAACUAUUGCAUAGAGGGAUCUUGUUAAAUCGAAAAGCAGAGUGAUCAGAGUGGCAAAGUGCUAAUUAAGCUCUGAAUGUGGGGGCUGCAUCAACAGAGCACAGGGAUGAUCCUUCGCUGUCUGUUUACAUCACUGCGGUGCAUUCUGGGAGGUCACCCCACAACCUGGGGCAGGCGUACUGUUCUGCUGCUCCGGGAAAAAAAAAAAUGUGUAAGACAGAUAAAACCAGCACAUCUAAAUCCCUUUGGCUCUGUGUUUACGGACACAGACGGCUUUAUCUACACUAAUGUCAUCAACAUUUAACCCCUUAGCCGUCAAAGAUCGCAGACGGCCCCAGA
ensembl:lncRNA